rnacentral:rRNA from 1 species
AGAGUUUGAUCAUGGCUCAGAUUGAACGCUGGCGGCAAGCCUCAUACAUGCAAGUCGAGCGAGAACGUUACUUCGGUAGCUAGUAAAGCGGCGGACGGGUGAGUAACGCGUAGGAAUCUACCUUUCAGCGGGGGAUAGCUCGGGGAAACCCGAAUUAAUACCGCAUACACCCUAAGGGGGAAAGAGGGCCUAUCCUUGGAAGCUCUCGCUGUUAGAUGAGCCUGCGUGAGAUUAGUUUGUUGGUGGGGUAGUGGCCUACCAAGACUACGAUCUCUAGCUGGUCUGAGAGGACGAUCAGCCACACUGGGACUGAGACACGGCCCAGACUCCUACGGGAGGCAGCAGUAGGGAAUAUUGGACAAUGGGGGCAACCCUGAUCCAGCUAUGCCGCGUGUGUGAAGAAGGCUCUAGGGUUGUAAAGCACUUUAGGUAAGGACGAAAAGAAUAUAGUUAAUACCUAUAUUCCGUGACUUAACUUACAGAAUAAGGACCGGCUAACUCCGUGCCAGCAGCCGCGGUAAUACGGAGGGUCCAAGCGUUAAUCGGGAUUACUGGGCGUAAAGCGCGCGUAGGCGGUUUGUCAAGUUGGAUGUGAAAUCCCUGGGCUCAACCUAGGAACUGCAUUCAAAACUUAUAGGCUAGAGUACGAUAGAGGAGAGUAGAAUUCCUGGUGUAGCGGUGAAAUGCGUAGAUAUCAGGAGGAAUACCAAUGGCGAAGGCAACUCUCUGGAUCGACACUGACGCUGAGGUGCGAAAGCGUGGGUAGCAAACAGGAUUAGAUACCCUGGUAGUCCACGCCGUAAACGAUGAGAACUAGCCGUUGGAUCUUAGAUUCAGUGGUACAGCUAACGCAUUAAGUUCUCCGCCUGGGGAGUACGGGCCGCAAG